rnacentral:rRNA from 1 species
UACAGAGGUCUCAAGCGUUGUUCGGAUUCAUUGGGCGUAAAGGGUGCGUAGGCGGCGCGGUAAGUCGGGUGUGAAAUCCCCAGGCUUAACCUGGGAACUGCAUCCGAUACUGGAUGGCUUGAAUCCGGGAGAGGGAUGCAGAAUUCCAGGUGUAGCGGUGAAAUGCGUAGAGAUCAGGAAGAACAUCGGUGGCGAAGGCGCUCUGCUGGACCAUAACUGACACUCAGGGACGAAAGCUAGGGGAGCGAAUGGG